UGCUAGCCAGCGGGGUUGUUUGGUUAACGUGCAGCAUGGCGGACGAUGUGGAAGGCGAAGGCGCCGCUCCCGCUCCCGCUCCCGCUCCCGCUCUGGAUGAGGAGGAGGCGGCCGGCAUGGCCGGGUUCGGCGUCGGCGGCUUAGUGUUCAACGUGUGUCUCUUGCUGCUGGCUCUGCUCGGGGUGUACAGGCUGUACUGGAGGAGGCGGUGCGGCGGCGAGACGGAAUGCAAAGAGCCCGCGCUGCCCAAGAUGAAGAAACGCGAUUUCAGUCUGGAACAGCUGCGGGAAUACGACGGGCUUCACAACCCGCGGCUCCUGCUCGCCGUCAACGGCAAAGUUUUCGAUGUGACCAAAGGGAAGAAAUUCUAUGGACCCGAUGGCCCGUAUGGUAUAUUUGCUGGCCGAGAUGCCUCAAGAGGACUGGCUACAUUCUGCCUUGACAAGGAAGCGCUGAGGGAUGAAUUUGAUGAUCUUUCUGAUUUAAGUGCUGUGCAGAUGGAAAGUGUUAGAGAAUGGGAGAUGCAAUUCAUGGGAAAAGGAGAUAUUCGAUGGAAGAUAAAUACUUGGUCAAAGAUGGAAAGGCAAAGGGGUUUGGGGAUGGAAUUCGUGUGGGGUCUUGGUGGCUGUAGACAUGGAUACCAAUGAUAAUGCAAGACUUGGCACAAAACUCAAAUAGGCCACAGUGAUCCCUGCCCUAUAUGCUUCUGAGUUGUGAACUACCUACAACAGACAUCUCAAGGCAAUGGAAAAAUGUCACCAAUCAUGUCUGCAAAAUCCUCCAAAUUCACUGGAAGAAUAAACGGACCAACAAUGAUGUCCUCUCGCAGAAAAGUAUGACUAUAUAGGCCGACUGUUGAAACCAUGGGACGAACCAUCAGAAUAUACAGAUGAGGAAGACGUUAAAGAGCAUUCGAAACAGGACUAAAACUGUUCGGCAACCAAAGCGAGAGCGUUCAGUGCUGCAACCCAUUUUAUUCAGAUUUCUGGAGCUUUUGAUUUCUUCAUGAGCUACAAAUGAUAGAAUGUGAAAUGUAUUUUGCAUUCAAAGUAAAUACUCUUAUGUGGAGACUUAAAUUAAAAUAUCCAGUAAAUGCUGCCAAAAUAGUUUUGUGGUUGAUGUAACAAGUCAGGUGAGGUUACGUCCAUGAUGGCAGAGAUAAAAAGCGCAGCGGUAUUGAUUUACCUGGGGUUUUAUGUUUGCCAGUGGGUGAGGGGAUGAAAAGAUGAAUGUGCUGAAGCCAUCCGACAUUACUAAUGUUUCAAGAUUAUUUCAACUAGGCGUUACAGAACAAGGCCUCUUUAUCUUGGGAUUCUUGAUUUGUACAUUUUUAAAAAAAUGUACAGCAUUGCAAGCAAUUGCCUGUGAUCUUGCUUUAUACAAUAACAGUAAGUAGAUAGAAGCUGGAAUUUACAAUUGAUUUUUUGAAUACUCUGCACAAGAUUAUUUAAAGAUGUGUUCCCUUAAAACUGCACUAAAUCAGUAUACAGUAAUUAAAGGAAAGAGGGCUUACUGGUAACUGAUUGUGCUGGCUCAGUUUGAAAAUGCUAUGUUUAUUCCCCACUGAAUGUUACAAAACUGUAUUUCUCUGCAGUCUGGUUUCCCCUCCAUUUAUUGAAAUGUAGGUAAUAUUCAUUGUGCCUUAUUUUGAUUACUUUUCUACUUCAACUUGAAAUAUUGUAAAUCAGUUUCCCUAAACCUGAGCCAAUGGUGUAAUAGUGUUCAAAGGAAAAAAACAGUAAUUGCAUGGAGACCUUUUUAUCUUUGCCUGUAGUGUAUGAUAUUGCCAUUGUUCGAGUGGGGAGAAAAAUGCACUCACUCUGAUGUAUUUGCAGUUAGCAUAUCCCAUGAUACUGCCAUAUUUAUGUAGUGAUGUAUAGUUUAGUGUUAUCAGAAACCCAUAUUUCAUUUCCUUCCCUCUUGUUGGAGUAACAUUUUCUAUCUGAGGAAGAGGGAAUGGUCUUUAGUUUGUGUGGAAUAAAAUAAAAUUGGGAUGGUAAGACAUUUCAAAUUUGUAAAUAUGUGUAUCUGUUUUAAUAAAAAGCAUGUACUACAAGCAGACAGAUCUGACUUUGUGCAGAGUAUCAAAUCUUGAACCAGAGCUAUAGGUUAUGAUGGAUCAGAUGGAAAUUGCACAAUAAACAAUUGUUUGAUAAUA